rnacentral:rRNA from 1 species
ACGGAAGGCAGCAGUGGGGAAUAUUGCACAAUGGGGGAAACCCUGAUGCAGCGACGCCGCGUGAGUGAAGAAGUAUUUCGGUAUGUAAAGCUCUAUCAGCAGGAAAGAAAAUGACGGUACCUGACUAAGAAGCCCCGGCUAACUACGUGCCAGCAGCCGCGGUAAUACGUAGGGGGCAAGCGUUAUCCGGAUUUACUGGGUGUAAAGGGAGCGUAGACGGCUUUGCAAGUCUGAAGUGAAAGCCCGGGGCUCAACCCCGGAACUGCUUUGGAAACUGUAGAGCUAGAGUGCAAGAGAGGUAAGUGGAAUUCCUAGUGUAGCGGUGAAAUGCGUAGAUAUUAGGAGGAACACCAGUGGCGAAGGCGGCUUACUGGACUGUAACUGACGUUGAGGCUCGAAGGCGUGGGGAGCAAACAGGAUUAGAUACCCUGGUA